rnacentral:rRNA from 1 species
ACGGGGACCCGCACAAGCGGUGGAUGAUGUGGAUUAAUUCGAUGCAACGCGAAGAACCUUACCUACCCUUGACAUGUCCGGAACUUGCCAGAGAUGGCUUGGUGCCCGAAAGGGAAUCGGAACACAGGUGCUGCAUGGCUGUCGUCAGCUCGUGUCGUGAGAUGUUGGGUUAAGUCCCGCAACGAGCGCAACCCUUAUCAUUAGUUGCUACGCAAGGGCACUCUAAUGAGACUGCCGGUGACAAACCGGAGGAAGGUGGGGAUGACGUCAAGUCCUCAUGGCCCUUAUGGGUAGGGCUUCACACGCCAUACAAUGGUGCAUACAGAGGGCUGCCAACCCGCGAGGGGGAGCUAAUCCCAGAAAGUGCAUCGUAGUCCGGAUUGUAGUCUGCAACUCGACUACAUGAAGUUGGAGUUGCUAGUAAACGCAGGUCAGCCAUACUGCGUUGAAUACGUUCCCGGGGCUU